GUGCUCGCUUCAGCAGCACAUAUACUAAAAUUGGAAUGAUACAGAGAAGAUUAGCAAGGCCCCUGCGCAAGGAUGGCACACAAAUUCGUGAAGCAUUCCACAUUUUU
rnacentral:snRNA from 1 species